rnacentral:rRNA from 1 species
ACGGGAGGCAGCAGUAGGGAAUAUUGCACAAUGGGGGAAACCCUGAUGCAGCAACGCCACGUGUGGGAAGAAGCAUUUCGGUGUGUAAACCACUGUCGUGAGGGAAUAAUGCUAUUUUUCGGAAUAGUUGAAUGUACCUCGAAAGGAAGCGCCGGCAAACUUCGUGCCAGCAGCCGCGGUAAUACGAGGGGUGCAAGCGUUGUUCGGAAUCACUGGGCGUAAAGGGAGCGCAGGCGGAGAUGCAAGCAGUCUGUACAAUACCGGGGCCCAACCCCGGACCUGCAGACUGGACUGUUUCUCUUGGAUAGUUCAGGGGCAAGCGGAAUUCCUAGUGUAGCGGUGAAAUGCGUAGAUAUUAGGAGGAACACCAGUGGCGAAGGCGGCUUACUGGACGAUAACUGACGUUGAGGCUCGAAAGCGUGGGGAGCAAACAGGAUUAGAUACACUGGUA